UGGGGAAUUUUGGACAAUGGGCGAAAGCCUGAUCCAGCAAUGCCGCGUGCAGGAAGAAGGCCUUCGGGUUGUAAACUGCUUUUGUACGGAACGAAAAGGCUCUUUCUAAUAAAGGGGGCUCAUGACGGUACCGUAAGAAUAAGCACCGGCUAACUACGUGCCAGCAGCCGCGGUAAUACGUAGGGUGCGAGCGUUAAUCGGAAUUACUGGGCGUAAAGCGUGCGCAGGCGGUUCUAUAAGACAGAUGUGAAAUCCCCGGGCUCAACCUGGGAAUGGCAUUUGUGACUGUAGAGCUAGAGUACGGUAGAGGGGGAUGGAAUUCCGCGUGUAGCAGUGAAAUGCGUAGAUAUGCGGAGGAACACCGAUGGCGAAGGCAAUCCCCUGGACCUGUACUGACGCUCAUGCACGAAAGCGUGGGGAGCAAACAGGAUUAGAUACCCCCGUAGUCCCUGAGCGGGCUGGCAAGGCGCAU
rnacentral:rRNA from 1 species